rnacentral:rRNA from 1 species
UACGGGGGGAGCAAGCGUUGUUCGGAUUUACUGGGCGUAAAGGGCGCGUAGGCGGCGCAACAAGUCACUUGUGAAAUCUCCGGGCUUAACCCGGAGCGGUCAAGUGAUACUGUCGUGCUAGAGUGCGGAAGGGGCUACUGGAAUUCUCGGUGUAGCGGUGAAAUGCGUAGAUAUCGGGAAGAACACCGGUGGCGAAGGCGGCGACCUGGUCCGUGACUGACGCUGAGGCGCGAAAGCGUGGGGAGCAAACAGG